AGUGAACGCUGGCGGUAGGCCUAACACAUGCAAGUCGAACGGCAGCACAGUAAGAGCUUGCUCUUACGGGUGGCGAGUGGCGGACGGGUGAGGAAUACAUCGGAAUCUACUUUUUCGUGGGGGAUAACGUAGUGAAACUUACGCUAAUACCGCAUACGACCUACGGGUGAAAGCAGGGGAUCUUCGGACCUUGCGCGAUUGAAUGAGCCGAUGUCGGAUUAGCUGGUUGGCGGGGUAAAGGCCCACCAAGGCGACGAUCCGUAGCUGGUCUGAGAGGAUGAUCAGCCACACUGGAACUGAGACACGGUCCAGACUCCUACGGGAGGCAGCAGUGGGGAAUAUUGGACAAUGGGCGCAAGCCUGAUCCAGCCAUACCGCGUGGGUGAAGAAGGCCUUCGGGUUGUAAAGCCCUUUUGUUGGGAAAGAAAAGCAGCAGGUUAAUACCCCGCUGUUCUGACGGUACCCAAAGAAUAAGCACCGGCUAACUUCGUG
rnacentral:rRNA from 1 species